GCCGGUGUAGCUCAAUUGGCAGAGCACUCGCCUUGUAAGCGAAAGGUUAGGGGUUCGAUUCCCCUCACCGGCUCCA
rnacentral:tRNA from 1 species